rnacentral:misc_RNA from 1 species
GUUUACAAUUUAAUAAUUAUAAAGAUACUCAAGUAAGAUAAAAUAAAAUGGUUUUAUUACAGGGUAAAGAUUCUUCUUUCCUUGUUGUUUUAAGAGGGAGAGGAGGGUAAGGCAGAAAACUCUUUCGACAGCCCCAAUUUGAAAAACAGAGUAAACUGUUUUCCAAAGGUUUGGAGGAGCUGCCAAAAAAACUUUAUGUCAAAAGAACUUCCCCCCCUAAAAAAAAUAGCAAUUUAGAGGAAUCUUUUUUACAUGCAAAACGGUUCACAAGUGGGGUUAAAUUUUUAGACUUGGAGAGAGGUCAUAACAACCCCCAACCAAAGUGCUAAAAAGUUUAAAUUUGUUAAUGAUCCAACCGCAGGUUCACCUACGGUUA